GAUGAACGCUGGCGGCGUGCUUAACACAUGCAAGUCGAACGAAGCACUUUAUUUGAUUUCCUUCGGGACUGAUUAUUUUGUGACUGAGUGGCGGACGGGUGAGUAACGCGUGGGUAACCUGCCUUUUACAGGGGGAUAACAGUUGGAAACGGCUGCUAAUACCGCAUAAGCGCCCAGCAUCGCAGGAUGCAGUGUGAAAAACUCCGGUGGUAUAAGAUGGACCCGCGUUGGAUUAGCUAGUUGGUGAGGUAACGGCCCACCAAGGCGACGAUCCAUAGCCGACCUGCGAAGGUGCCCGGCCACAUUGGGACUGAGGCACCGCCCAGACUCCUACGGGAGGCAGCAGUGGCGAAUCUUGCACAAUGGGCGAAAGCCUGAUGCAGCGACGCCGCGUGAGCGAAGAAGUAUUUCGGUAUGUAAAUCUCUAUCAGCAGAGAAGAUAAUGGCGGUACCUGACUAAGAAGCACCGGCUAAAUACGUG
rnacentral:rRNA from 1 species